rnacentral:rRNA from 1 species
UAUGAAGGGGACUAGCGUUGUUCGGAAUCACUGGGCGUAAAGCGCACGUAGGCGGAUAUUUAAGUCAGGGGUGAAAUCCCAGAGCUCAACUCUGGAACUGCCUUUGAUACUGGGUAUCUCGAGUAUGGAAGAGGUGAGUGGAAUUCCGAGUGUAGAGGUGAAAUUCGUAGAUAUUCGGAGGAACACCAGUGGCGAAGGCGGCUCACUGGGCUGGUACUGACGCUGAGGAGCGAAAGCGUGGGUAGCGAACAGG